rnacentral:rRNA from 1 species
CCCCGUAUAAUGCGCCCUCACGACGCGGCGUUACUGCCGCACCGGACUCCGGUCCGGAUUGUUCUUUACCAACCGAGUGGAGAUGUGUGGGUUUAGGCCCAGGGGUAUUAUUGGUGCUUAGGCACUGGUGAUUACCCUGAGCAGUAUUGUUUUAAAAUGGAUUGAACGAGAGAGUUUGAUCCUGGCUCAGAUUGAACGCUGGCGGCAUGCCUAACACAUGCAAGUCGAACGGUAGCAGGCCUUCGGGUGCUGACGAGUGGCGGACGGGUGAGUAAUGCGUAGGAAUCUGUCUUUUAGUGGGGACAACCCAGGGAAACUUGGGCUAAUACCGCAUGAGCCCUGAGGGGAAAGCGGGGGAUCUUCGGACCUCGCGCUAAG